rnacentral:ncRNA from 1 species
UAUGAACUUUAGGGGUGCUUUACCUCCUGUUCCGGAAAGGACACAGGAAAUAAGGCUGAGAAAUACCCUCUGAACCUGAUCCGGGUAAUACCGGCGAAGGGAAAAGGCGAAUAUUGUAU